rnacentral:rRNA from 1 species
CGGCACCUCAAGUGGUCAUGAUGAUUAUUGGGCCUAAAGCAUCCGUAGCCGGCUCUGUAAGUUUUCGGUUAAAUCUGUAUGCUCAACAUACAGGCUGCCGGGAAUACUGCAGAGCUAGGGAGUGGGAGAGGUAGACGGUACUCGGUAGGAAGGGGUAAAAUCCUUUGAUCUAUUGAUGACCACCUGUGGCGAAGGCGGUCUACCAGAACACGUCCGACGGUGAGGGAUGAAAGCUGGGGGAGCAAACCGGAUUAGAUACCCGAGUAGUCC